UCGGGAAUUUUGGGCAAUGGGCGAAAGCCUGACGCAGCCAUGCCGCGUGAAUGAUGAAGGUCUUAGGAUUGUAAAGUUCUUUCGCCCGUGACGAUGAUGACGGUAACGGGAGAAGAAGCCCCGGCUAACUUCGUGCCAGCAGCCGCGGUAAUACGAAGGGGGCUAGCGUUGUUCGGAAUUACUGGGCGUAAAGCGCGCGUAGGCGGUUUUGCAAGCCAGAGGUGAAAUGCCUGAGCUCAACUUAGGAAUUGCCUUUGGGACUGCGAGGCUUUGAGGACGAGAGAGGUGAGUGGAAUUCCCAGUGUAGAGGUGAAAUUCGUAGAUAUUGGGAAGAACACCGGUGGCGAAGGCGGCUCACUGGCUCGUUUCUGACGCUGUAGCGCGAAAGCGUGGGGAUCAAACAGGAUUAGAUACCCGCGUAGUCCCUGAG
rnacentral:rRNA from 1 species